GGUGGCUGUGGCUGUGCUGAUGGCUGAGCACAAGCGAAGGCAGGGCCUGGAAGAAGCCGGGGAGCUGGGGAGCUUUCUGGAGAGGUGAGGGGUGCUGCAGAGCAAGGUCAAGGCAGCUGGAGGAGGGAGAACCAAGGAAGGUGUGAGAGAGGAAAAGGGAAGUUCCUCAGAAGUCUGUGGAGCUCAGUUGUCUGCGGAAAAGUUAAAUAUUAAAUUUGAACUCAGUUGGACAUGGACACAAACAAUGGUCACCAAGUGCCAGAACAGGUUGUGUGAGCCCUUGAGGCAUUCAUCCAGCGCUGUUUUGGAGAAAUCUCUAUUUCAAUCUAUUCCUAUUAUGUUAGUUAUUGAAAAACAAUAGACACUCGCGAAAACAAGUUGACCUUUUUGUGUUCCUUAAGCCUGGUCACAAAGGGCCCUCGUGCCUGGACCUCAUGCCAAACAACUUGUUACAGAAGAGCUAGGGUCCCAGACUGCGCCGAAGCUUCAUGAGACCUCUCCUCGUCUGUGCACAGAGCGGCCGACUCUGGAGCCCAGGCUGUUGCUUCCCAGACUGGUGGUGAAUCCUCCAUAGUCUGACUAAUCAGCAGGCAGAUCAACAGGCCAAAAUUUCCACCAUAAGUGCAAACUUGAUUGCAGAUGAAUGGAUUACAACACGGUCAAGCCUUGCAAUGAGAGGCAUUAUAAUGUAUGGUGCUAUAAUUGAUAGUGAUUACCGGGGAGAGUUAAAGGUCAUUUUAUACAAUACCACUUCAGAUUCUUUUGCUAUAAAACAGCAGAUGCAGGUUGCUCAGCUGUUAGUGGUAUCUUGUCAACAACUCCCGAGGAAAUUUCUACCCCAACAGAAACAACAUAUAGAACGGAACAUUCAGGUCCACCAGAGUGGGCAACUUAAAUCCUGGAGCUAAAAUAUGGGUACAGUGUCCAUCAGAUCCUGCCCCUAAGACUGCUGACCUUGUAGCUAUUGGAGCAGAAUAUGAAGGCACAGUAGUACAAUUUCCUAAAGAUGAAAAACAGUAUCAUGUUCCCCUCCAUUUUUGUUAUUACAGAGAAUAACCUGUCUGCUAGUAAUCAGCACCUGGAUCACCAUGUCUGAGGCUGAGAAUGAGUUCAUCAACUGGGUAGCCACUGCUGCAAUAGAGGCCAACUGCAGUCAGUGCUGGCUCUGUGUCAAGUUGCCAGAGGCGGCUGGGAAUGGGCUACCUUGGAGAAUUGUCCCUGCUAACAUUUCUGAAUGGAUAUGCCAAUACCAAUGGAAGUGGGAUAACACUUGGUUUUGUUUUGAUUUUUUGAGCCAGAGUCUCUCUCUGUCGCCCAGGCUGGAGUGCAGUGGCACGAUCUUGGCUCAGUGCAACCUCUGCCUCCUGGGUUCAAGCGACUCUCCUACCUCAGCCUCCCAAGUAGCUGGGACUAUAGAUGCACGCUGCCACACCUGGCUAAUUUUUUGUAUUUUUAGUAGAGACGGGGUUUCACCGUUUUGCCCAGGCUGGUGUCAAACUCCUGAGCUCGGGUGAUCCGCCCUCCUCAGCCUCCCAAAGUGCUGGGAUUGCAGGUGUGAGCCACCACGCCCGGCCCGGGAUAACAGUUGUAAUCCAACCUGGACUUCUUUUAACCAAACAGUCUAUUUUUGCCCAAGCCCAAACAAAACACAGCACCUUUGUUACUUAAAUUACACAUUACAGCGAUACAAUUAUAAUAGAACUCUUCCUGUUCCCUGGGGGGCCCUCUAGGUAUGUGAAUCCUACGGGUGGCAAUACCUGCUCCCACACUGGACAGGGAGACACAUUUGGGGGUGGCCAUUAAUUCCAUUCACCAUCCGGGAUAAUAUUCCUCUCCCCAGUAAUCUAGAUGCUUACAAACAUUGCUGGUUAUGAAUGCGCCGGACUCCCUGGUGACGGUACCCUGUCGCAGUAUUCUCCCCUGCCACCGGUACAAUCCUGCUUCAGCAACAAAUUAAAACAUUCAGCUUACGUGUAGAAAAAGCUCUUAAUGAUAGUAGCAUGGAACUUAUGUUGUAAUCAAAUAAAUUUGCUCAGCUGUGUACUGUCGUGUUGCAAAGUCAAAUGGCAUUAGGUUUGCUUACCGCAGCCCAAGGAAAAGUUUGCCCCUUACUGCAUCCUGAAUGUUACGUGUAUAUCCCUGACAAUUCUCACAAUAUGAAUCUCCUUGCAAAGCCAUGAGGGGUGUGGUUUUUAUUAAUUAUGCUCCUAAUUCUCCUGUGCUUACCCUGUAUCUGUAAUCUAUAUCAAUUGUGCCUUUCCUGUGUAUCUGUAAGAGUAUUUUCCUACAAUUGAGUAUCAGAUUGAGGCCAAAUGUGGAGGAAAAGUUAAAUAUUAAAUUUGAACUAAAUUGAACAUGGACACAAACAAUGGUCACCAAGUCCUGGAACGGGUUGUGUGAGCCCCUUGAAGCAUUCAUCCAGCACUGUUUCAGAUAAAUCUCUAUUUCAAUCUAUUCCUAUAUGUUAGUUAUUGAAAAACAACAGAUAAUCGCAAAAACAAGUUGACCUUUUUGUGUUCCUUGAGCCUGGUCACGAAGGGCCCUCGUGCCUGGACCUCAUGCCAAACAACUCGUUACAAAAGAGCUAGGGUCUUAGAUUGUGCCGAAGCUUCAUGAGACCUCUCCUCGUCUGUGCACGGACGAGUGGCCGACUCUCGAGCCCAGGCUGUUGCUGUUGCUUCCCAGUCUGGUGGUGAAUCCUCCAUAGUCUGCUGAGUAUAAAAAUAUAUAUCUCUUUUCCUUUCUCCCCUUCCCAUUGCAACUUGCUUAUUAUAUCAUUUGCUUAUUAUAUCUGCAUUGCCAUUUAUGUGGGAUAAAGCUUGUUUACCCUUAAA